UUUCCUAGCUAUAUUUUAAGCAAGCUCACAUACAUAGAACAUAUCAAUUCUACCAUACACGUAAGUCAAACAAAAGCGUUAGAGCCAAUAAUAACAUGGAAUUGAAAACCCAUUAACCAAUUUAUUAACAUACUACCUCUGUAUUCUUAAUUUAUCAAAUUGAUUAAAAUUACUAAUUCUCUUAUAUAUGACAAUACCCCUCCCACUCCAGAAUGAUAAAAAAUUAAAAAUAA
rnacentral:lncRNA from 1 species